rnacentral:rRNA from 1 species
UUAUGCUACCCUAAGAGUGAAGGGGGCGUGGGGUUUAGAGAUUUAUACUCCUUCAACUUGGCAAUGCUAUCAAAACAGUGCUGGAGGUUGAUCACAUGUCCUGAAUCUUUGUGUGCUAGAGUGUUCAAAGCAAAAUAUUUCCCAAAUGGGAGUCUACUCCAAGCUAGCUUAAAAAAUGGAGCAUCGUUUACUUGGCAAAGUAUCAUGAAAGGAUUAGAGACCUUCAAGCUGGGAUACAUAUGGAGAAUUGGGACAGGAGAGCAUGUGAACAUUUGGAGGGGCCCGUGGAUCCCAGCUAGCCCGGACAGGAAGGUGAUAUCAUUGAGAGGCCACUCUAUUCUUUCCACUGUUCAAGAGCUCAUCGACCCCAACACCGGUUCAUGGGAUGAAGACUUGCUUCGGUCGAUCCUAAAUCUGGUAGAUGUUAACAGGAUCUUACAAAUCACGUUAAACUACAAUUCCUUUGAUGACUUUAUAGCAUGGCACCCUGAUCGGAAAGGGAUGUCCGCACAGCAUACCGUAUUCAGUGGAUUCGAACUUUUGGGGCUCAAGCAACUGCACCGACACAUCCAAACAGAUCGAAUACACCGGCAGUGUGGAGUGUACUCUGGAAACUUUACGUCCCACGUAAAAUCCAAUUUUUUGCUGGAGAGUGCUGCACGGGAUAUUGCCGCUUAA